UGGGGUUGUGUUAAUAUAAGAUUGUUAUCUUUAUACAAUUGAAGGGAUGAGGUUGUUAGCCUCAAAUUAAAAUACAAUUGCUUAAAAUAUGUUAUCAUUUAGAAUAAAUAUGUUUUUUAAGAGUUUGAAUUUAUUAAUUAAUCAUUUUUUAAUUUUUUUUAAUAUGUAUAUUACUUUGUAUGCUCAUGUUUCUCCUUCACCAUCAUAAAUUGGUUAGACAUGAUAGUUAUUGGCUCUAGAUCUUAAACCUACCCUCAAGGGAAGACUAGAAAAGAGAAGGGAAUUUUGAGCAAGAAUGGACUUUCAAUACUUGUAUGGUGGUCCAGCAGGCUCAAGCCUUUCUUAAGAAUUGAGUGGAGUACAAUUAAACUUAUUCCUUUUGGAACUUGAAUUGUUUACGAUAAUUAAAUUAUAAAAAAAAAAAAAAGCAUAAUGUGUGUUAAUUUAAGAGCCACUAUAUUGAUUAGUGACUCAGAUUUAUGAAGCCGACUAAAAACAUUGGAGUACUUUAAAAAAAAAUGAAAUUCUACAAAUAACUUGAUUUAGUUGUUCAUUAAAGCUUUAACUAUUAUUUGUUUUUUACUUGUAAUUUAAUCGAAAUAAGUAUUUUGAAAAGAGCAUGUAAUCACCCUCAAACCUAAAGCUACCUUAGGUCUUUAAUUAGUACCUUAAAAGUCUCACUUAACCUCAAUCACCCCUCCCCAAACAAAAGUACCUUAACUUUUUCUAAACUUUCAUCCUAAUCUAACAUAAUAAGAAUGUAAAAGUCAAUAAAACCCAAAAAAAAAAUUCAAAUGAAUUCACAAAUCUCAACUACUUAUUGCCUAACCUAUUUGACAUUUGCAACCAUUAGCUAAUUAGCUUACCUAAAUUAUUUCUUCCCUUUUUAUUUAUUUAUUUAUUUAUUUAUUUUUUAUGUAUUUACAUUUAGCACAACUAAUAUUAAGUCAAUUAAUAAAACAAUUAAAAACAGAGUAAUAGUCAAAAGCUGUAAAUUAGUACGUAAAUAAAUCAUACAAGAUAGAUAUAUAGGUAUUUGAUGGCUCCUACUUUCUACAAUCCUACUCCUUUUUACCAAAAUACCCCUCCCUUAUCUUUCUCUCUCUCAAAUAAUUACACUCAUGAUGACGUUCUCUGUUUCACUCCACAAACCCCCAUAAAAAUCCCACAAACUUUCUUGUUUUCUGAUUCCAAAACCAAAUCAUCAUCUUAAUCUCUCUUAAUUUCUCAAAAAAAAAAAAAAAAAAAAAAAAAUGAAGGAAGCUCGAUUCUUGAGGGGAAUGACGUCUCGGCUCGAAGGCUACCAAUUUACAAUCAAAUUUCUUCAAUUUUAUAAAAAAUUUCUUCAAAUUUUCAUGUAAUUUGUGUCAAUUUUGCCUUCGGACCAGGCUUCAUUCCCCUUAAUUUGAGCUUCCAAAUCCUCAAAUUUAAUCACAAAUGCAAUUUUCAUGCUUCGAUUUCAAAUGGAUUUUGCAGGCACUAAUUAAAAUGUUGCUGGAACUUUCAAUGGAAGAUAUGGUAGUUUUUUUCAUCUUUAAUGGGAAAGAGGUAUCUUUAAAUUUUUAUAUUAUUUAUUGUAUGUAAUGAAUUCUAAUUGUUAUUAUAACCCUAGCUUUUGAUAUAAAGAUAUGGUCCCUUUGUUAUUUUUUUU